AGUGAACGCUGGCGGUAGGCCUAACACAUGCAAGUCGAACGGCAGCACAGUAAGAGCUUGCUCUUACGGGUGGCGAGUGGCGGACGGGUGAGGAAUACAUCGGAAUCUACUUUUUCGUGGGGGAUAACGUAGGGAAACUUACGCUAAUACCGCAUACGACCUACGGGCGAAAGCAGGGGAUCUUCGGACCUUGCGCGAUUGAAUGAGCCGAUGUCGGAUUAGCUAGUUGGCGGGGUAAAGGCCCACCAAGGCGACGAUCCGUAGCUGGUCUGAGAGGAUGAUCAGCCACACUGGAACUGAGACACGGUCCAGACUCCUACGGAAGGCAGCAGUGGGGAAUAUUGGACAAUGGGCGCAAGCCUGAUCCAGCCAUACCGCGUGGGUGAAGAAGGCCUUCGGGUUGUAAAGCCCUUUUGUUGGGAAAGAAAAGCAGCAGGUUAAUACCCCGCUGUUCUGACGGUACCCAAAGAAUAAGCACCGGCUAACUUCGUG
rnacentral:rRNA from 1 species